UGGUGGGCGAUACUGGACUCGAACCAGUGACCUCUUGCUUGUCGAGCAAGCGCUCUAGCCAACUGAGCUAAUCGCCC
rnacentral:tRNA from 1 species